GUAAGUGUGCUGGAACUGGUCUACGGGCUAAAUUUAGGUUUUAGUGCUCUCAGAGCGUGUGAGUUCGAGUCUCACCACUUGCA
rnacentral:tRNA from 1 species